UCGUAAGUUAAUGGCGGAGUCUUUUUAAUUCCGUAAUAUUUUUGAAGAAUCUUAAUUAAAAUAGGAAGAAUUGGUGUCUUGGACGCGGAGGCUUAUCGAAGCGAGUAUUAUACUGAUUAUUUAAGAUAUAAGAUAGAUGAGGAACGCUUACAAGUGUUUGAGCGUAAGAUACUGCGUCGCAUUUAUGGUGCUGUUCUCAUUGGUGAUCAAUGGCGAUCACGAUACAACCACGAGCUGUACCAAAUGUAUAAAGAGCCAAACAUCAACAAGGUCAUCAAAAUUGGACGACUGCGCUGGGCAGGACAUGUUGCCCGCAUGGAUGAUUGCAGAGUUCCUAAACGCCUGUUGGAAAAUAAGCCGGAUGGACGUAGAGCGCGUGGUAGGCCGAAACUUAGAUGGCUAGACGAAGUCGAACGCGAUCUUAAGAACAUCGGCGUCAAGGGCUGGAAGCAAAAGGCCCAAAAUAGACAGAAGUGGAGAAGUUUACUGGACCAGGCCCAGGCCCACACGCGGCUGUAGUGCCUCAGAAGAAGAAGAAGAUAUAAGAUAUUACCUCCAUAAGACUGUUUUAUUUAGCAAUGUCUGAUAUUUUAAUUAUGUAUUUUGUAUUGUUUUUGGUAAAUACAUUAAUGAUAACAAUGAUAUAUUAAAAUCCAUCUGAAGCAAAAAUCUUCUGAUGUUAGAAAACAAAAA